rnacentral:rRNA from 1 species
GAUGAACGCUGGCGGCGUGCCUAAUACAUGCAAGUCGAACGCGCAGCGAAAGGUGCUUGCACCUUUCAAGCGAGUGGCGAACGGGUGAGUAACACGUGGAUAACCUGCCUCAAGGCUGGGGAUAACAUUUGGAAACAGAUGCUAAUACCGAAUAAAACUUAGUAUCGCAUGAUACAAAGUUAAAAGGCGCUACGGCGUCACCUAGAGAUGGAUCCGCGGUGCAUUAGUUAGUUGGUGGGGUAAAGGCUUACCAAGACGAUGAUGCAUAGCCGAGUUGAGGGACUGAUCGGCAACAUUGGGACUGAGACACGGCCAAAACUCCUACGGGAGGCUGCAGUAGGGAAUCUUCCACAAUGGGCGCAAGCCUGAUGGAGCAACGCCGCGUGUGUGAUGAAGGCUUUCGGGUCGUAAAGCACUGUUGUAUGGGAAGAAAUGCUAAAAUAGGGAAUGAUUUUAGUUUGACGGUACCAUACCAGAAAGGGACGGCUAAAUACGUGCCAGCAGCCGCAGUAA